rnacentral:rRNA from 1 species
AUUGAACGCUGGCGGCAGGCCUAACACAUGCGAGUCGAGCGGAUGAAGGGAGCUUGCUCCUGGAUUCAGCGGCGGACGGGUGAGUAAUGCCUAGGAAUCUGCCUGGUAGUGGGGGAUAACGUCCGGAAACGGGCGCUAAUACCGCAUACGUCCUGAGGGAGAAAGUGGGGGAUCUUCGGACCUCACGCUAUCAGAUGAGCCUAGGUCGGAUUAGCUAGUUGGUGGGGUAAAGGCCUACCAAGGCGACGAUCCGUAACUGGUCUGAGAGGAUGAUCAGUCACACUGGAACUGAGACACGGUCCAGACUCCUACGGGAGGCAGCAGUGGGGAAUAUUGGACAAUGGGCGAAAGCCUGAUCCAGCCAUGCCGCGUGUGUGAAGGAGGUCUUCGGAUUGUAAAGCACUUUAAGUUGGGAGGAAGGGCAGUAAGUUAAUACCUUGCUGUUUUGACGUUACCAACAGAAUAAGCACCGGCUAACUUCGUG